rnacentral:rRNA from 1 species
AGUCGAGCGAGCAAAGUUAAAGGAAUACUUCGGUAGGAAUUUAAUAGCGCGAGCGGCGGAUGGGUGAGUAACACGUGGGCAACCUGCCCUUUAGCUUGGGAUACCACUUGGAAACAGGUGCUAAUACCAAAUAAGAAGUAAGAGCGCAUGCUCAAGCUAUGAAAGGCGGCUUUCGAGCUGUCACUAAAGGAUGGGCCCGCGGUGCAUUAGCUAGUUGGUAAGGUAACGGCUUACCAAGGCAAUGAUGCAUAGCCGAGUUGAGAGACUGAUCGGCCACAUUGGGACUGAGACACGGCCCAAACUCCUACGGGAGGCAGCAGUAGGGAAUCUUCCACAAUGGACGCAAGUCUGAUGGAGCACCGCCGCGUGAGUGAAGAAGGUUUUCGGAUCGUAAAGCUCUGUUGUUGGUGAAGAAGGACAUGGAUAGUAACUGAUCUAUGUUUGACGGUAAUCAACCAGAAAGUCACGGCUAACUACGUGCCAGCAGCCGCGGUAAUACGUAGGUGGCAAGCGUUGUCCGGAUUUAUUGGGCGUAAAGCGAACGCAGGCGGGAGAACAAGUCAGCUGUGAAAGCCCUCGGCUUAACCGAGGAACGGCAACUGAAACUGUUUUUCUUGAGUGCAGAAGAGGAGAGUGGAACUCCAUAUGUAGCGGUGAAAUGCGUAGAUAUAUGGAAGAACACCAGUGGCGAAGGCGGCUCUCUGGUCUGUAACUGACGCUGAGGUUCGAAAGCAUGGGUAGCGAACAGGAUUAGAUACCCUGGUAGUCCAUGCCGUAAACGAUGAGUGCUAAGUGUUGGGAGGUUUCCGCCUCUCAGUGCUGCAGCUAACGCAUUAAGCACUCCGCCUGGGGAGUACGACCGCAAGGUUAAAACUCAAAGGAAUUGAC